rnacentral:lncRNA from 1 species
CAGGAGAUGACAUGGGAAGACAUGGAAGCUUUGUGUCCCUUCCCAUAUACCUUGCUCUCUGCAUCUCUUCCAUUUGGCUCCUCCUGAGUUUGAUUAUUGGCGUGCCUCUCAACAUCCAGCAGAAUGUGGGAAUGUUUCAUGGCAUGAUAUGGCUCAAUCCACAGACAAAGGCUGCUGAGCCCAGAACAGCUUAUUGGACGAGCCCCUAUGAGAAGCAGAAAUGUAUAGAAGCAAACUGAACCCAAGGAAAGAUUGGUGAUACUUUGGGAGGGAUGACAGAGGAAGGGGAAACACACUGUCCAUCCCUGUCCCAGCAAGGAGCCAGCUCCCAUUCGGCAGUCCCUCUGAACAUCUAGGUAGCUUCCCCCUUCUUUCUGUCCAGUUGUGAGCAGCCACCAACUAUGAUGCCCCUCUUCCAGCAGGCUUUGCUUUCACAUCACAAAGCAUCAUCCUGAGAAACAAUUACAGUUCUUUUUAGAGUUCUGGUUCCUUCAUAGGUACCUAUUGUCCUAAUAAAUGGAAUUCC